AUGUGUCUACCAAAAAUCAAGGGAGGCAUGGGAUUUAGGGAUCUCCAUGCUUUCAAUUUAGCUAUUCUUGCUAAGUAAAGUUGGAGGCUUUUAUCUCAGCCAGAUACGUUAUGUGCAAGAAUUCUCCGGGCCAAAUAUUACCCGGAUGGAAACCUGCUCAAAGCAGGGCCGAAAAAAGGAUCCAGUUUUACUUGGCAAAGUAUUUUUGCGGGACUCCAAACCUUUCAGAGAGGUCAUAUUUGGAGAAUUGGCUCAGGAGAGAAAAUUAGUAUUUGGGACGAUCACUGGAUUCCAUCUAGUCAGGCACGUAUGGUUAUGACUAGACGUGGAAAUACUUUGUUGAGAACAGUUAAUGGUGCUGGAUACAUCAGCUGGGAUGAGGAUCUCGUUAGGAGUGUAUUUUUGUCGGUGGAUGCAGAAAGAAUCAAACUACCUCUCUCGGAGCACCUCACUGAGGACUUUGUUGCAUGGAAUCAUACUAAAUCUUUUUCGUUCUCAAUUCCUUCUGCAUAUUACGUGGAAUGGGAACAUCAAUUUGGCACAAAAUUCACUAGCAGUCAGAUCACUUCUUUUAAAAAUCUGGUCCGGGAGACAGUUUGGAAGCUAGAGGUUCCAAGCAAGGUAAGGAUAUUCAUAUGGUGGGCGCUUCACGGCUUGAUCCCUGGUAUGGCCGUACUAGCUCGCAGACACAAUAAAGUUUCUCCUAUGUGCCCGGUCUGCAAGAAGGACCUUGAAGAUAUGAAACAUCUGCUUUUUACUUGCGGACGAGCUUGCGCAGUAUGGAGGGCUCUCGAUCUAGAUGACGUCAUA
rnacentral:rRNA from 1 species